ACACAUGCAAGUCGAACGGUAACAGGAAACAGCUUGCUGUUUCGCUGACGAGUGGCGGACGGGUGAGUAAUGUCUGGGAAACUGCCUGAUGGAGGGGGAUAACUACUGGAAACGGUAGCUAAUACCGCAUAACGUCGCAAGACCAAAGAGGGGGACCUUCGGGCCUCUUGCCAUCAGAUGUGCCCAGAUGGGAUUAGCUAGUAGGUGGGGUAACGGCUCACCUAGGCGACGAUCCCUAGCUGGUCUGAGAGGAUGACCAGCCACACUGGAACUGAGACACGGUCCAGACUCCUACGGGAGGCAGCAGUGGGGAAUAUUGCACAAUGGGCGCAAGCCUGAUGCAGCCAUGCCGCGUGUAUGAAGAAGGCCUUCGGGUUGUAAAGUACUUUCAGCGGGGAGGAAGGGAGUAAAGUUAAUACCUUUGCUCAUUGACGUUACCCGCAGAAGAAGCACCGGCUAACUCCGUGCCAGCAGCCGCGGUAAUACGGAGGGUGCAAGCGUUAAUCGGAAUUACUGGGCGUAAAGCGCACGCAGGCGGUUUGUUAAGUCAGAUGUGAAAUCCCCGGGCUCAACCUGGGAACUGCAUCUGAUACUGGCAAGCUUGAGUCUCGUAGAGGGGGGUAGAAUUCCAGGUGUAGCGGUGAAAUGCGUAGAGAUCUGGAGGAAUACCGGUGGCGAAGGCGGCCCCCUGGACGAAGACUGACGCUCAGGUGCGAAAGCGUGGGAGCAAACAGGAUUAGAUACCCUGGUAGUCCACGCCGUAAACGAUGUCGACUUGGAGGUUGUGCCCUUGAGGCGUGGCUUCCGGAGCUAACGCGUUAAGUCGACCGCCUGGGGAGUACGGCCGCAAGGUUAAAACUCAAAUGAAUUGACGGGGGCCCGCACAAGCGGUGGAGCAUGUGGUUUAAUUCGAUGCAACGCGAAGAACCUUACCUGGUCUUGACAUCCACGGAAGUUUUCAGAGAUGAGAAUGUGCCUUCGGGAACCGUGAGACAGGUGCUGCAUGGCUGUCGUCAGCUCGUGUUGUGAAAUGUUGGGUUAAGUCCCGCAACGAGCGCAACCCUUAUCCUUUGUUGCCAGCGGUCCGGCCGGGAACUCAAAGGAGACUGCCAGUGAUAAACUGGAGGAAGGUGGGGAUGACGUCAAGUCAUCAUGGCCCUUACGACCAGGGCUACACACGUGCUACAAUGGCGCAUACAAAGAGAAGCGACCUCGCGAGAGCAAGCGGACCUCAUAAAGUGCGUCGUAGUCCGGAUUGGAGUCUGCAACUCGACUCCAUGAAGUCGGAAUCGCUAGUAAUCGUGGAUCAGAAUGCCACGGUGAAUACGUUCCCGGGCCUUGUACACACCGCCCGUCACACCAUGGGAGUGGGUUGCAAAAGAAGUAGGUAGCUUAACCUUCGGGAGGGCGCUUACCACUUUGUGAUUCAUGACUGGGGUGAAGUCGUAACAAGGUAACCGUAGGGGAACCUGCGGUUG
rnacentral:rRNA from 1 species